CAGAACGCAAGACAACCCUCCCUCGUUUUCUUCCUCACUGCUUUCGCGAGACACCUAAAGCCUUUAAACCCUAUUGUCCAAGAGUUCUUCUUUCAUCCAUUAUACUAUUUCUCUAUCUUGGAAAGUUCAGUUCAAUUCUUCUGCAUAUUUUUGUGCAUGGCGGAAUCGAGUGAGAGGGAAAGAAACACCUUGGUCGUGAGAAAGCCCUGUUAUGGCCUCCCAACUGGAUGUCCUCAGUGCUUGUCUGCUUACAUCUAUCUCAAGCUGGCUCAAGUUCCCUUUGACGUGGACUUCCACUUGAACUACCCUGAUUCUGAUAAAAUCCCUUACUUUGAGGCUGGUGAUUAUGUGGCAUAUAAUAAUGAGAAGGGUGGGCUCAUUGAGUGCUUGAAAAAAGAUGUUGUUGAUAUAGAUGAUGGGCUUUCCUUGGUUGCGGACUGGAUACCAACGAAAGUGAUGCUCACCACAUGGCUUGCUGAUGCACUUGCAUAUGAACUCUGGGUAGGAGGUGACAGUUCUUCUGCUUAUAACAUUUAUUAUUCUGGUCUUCCAUGGCCUAUAGGAAAGCUUCUGUUUUGGAAGCAAACUCACCUGCUAAAGCUGCAACAUGGAGUAACUAAAGACAACGCUGAAGUAAAGGAGGAAGAGAUUUACUCGAGAGCUAAUUCUGCAUAUGAUGCGCUGUCAACAUUUUUAGGGGAGCAAAACUAUUUCUUUGAGAAUAGGCCAUCAAGCUUGGAUGCUAUUUUUCUUGCACAUGCUCUUAUCAUUUUACAAGCUUUGCCUGAAACAUCAGUGCUAAGGACCAAGCUUUUGGAACAUGCUAAUUUAGUGAGAUAUGUGCAAAAAUGUAAGACAGAACUCAUAGAUGCUAAUACAUUUCAAUCCUCCGGCCAACCUUCGCACGGUGAUGCAUCGUCAUCAGCUUCAAGAGGCCAUUCAAAUUGGAGUUCAAAGCCUAGGAACAGGAAACCAAAGAUGGAGAAAACAAAGGAAGAGAAAACCUUCAGAAGAAGGGCCAAAUUCUUCUUGGCAGCUCAGGCGGUUGCAGUUAUUCUUUUCCUCACGCACAUUUCUGGAAGAUAUGAAGCAGAAGCAGAGCUAGACGAUGACUAUGAAAGCUAUGGCAAUGAUGAAUGAAUUUUGUUCUGAUCACUUCUUUCCCUUGUUAUCAUGCAAAUUGAAAAUUUUGUUUUAUGUAGAGUUGAAGGAAUGGAGACUACAGAGGAUCUGGGGUAAUGUUAGCGUCAAAAAUCAGAAGGCGGGUUUGAGGUAGCUUUGUGAAUAUUCAAAUCCUAGGAAUUUAAAGGUCACAAGAUCAAAGCUGAUGCAGUGAGGACAGUGAUCCUUUCAUAUUUGGGACCUGAGUAAAUCAUCCUUCUUUCAGUGGGAGAGUUGGGAAAAAACUUCAUGUUGCAGCCAAAUCCACAGGGGAAGCAUCCUUGCACUUCGCAUGCCCCCACAGCUCAACAAGCUGAUCAUAAACUUUUGAAGAAUCAACAGCAAACUCAGCGAGUGAGCUCAUAGCUACUGCUAUUCCUCCACAAAUCAUCAUAAUCUCAUCUUCUCGCAUUUUCUCUGCAAUCACAACUUCUCCUUCUGCUUCUACCUCCCCAAUAUUUCCAUCUGAUUUCUUCCAUCCUCCUCCAUUCCUAAGAGAAUUUUCUCGAACCUCUUGGGCGCUCAGCGACCUCACACCAGCUGUGAAAUAAUCUAUGCCUUCAAGAACUGAAGCUUCGUGGAUCUCAUCUAACCGCCUUGACCAUUCCGCGCACAGUCCAAUUAAUGGAUGGGUCCCGCUGCAGGAUCGACGAGGAGAAGCAUCGACGGGAGCGUUGGAUCUGACGCACCAUUGUAGCCAGCCGGUAAGCGCGUGGACGUAGGAUCUCUGAGCAGCGAUCCAUGACUCGAAUCUGGCUCGCCAGUUCUUCAGUUCGGAUUCGAGGCUGGAGGUUGAGCGGGCUGGUCUGUGGGGACCGGGUGAUGAAAUUGAGAGCUGCAUUCUGGGUAGGAGGAUCAUGGCUUCCUCUAGGAUUCUCUUCUGUGUCCAAUGACACUCUGCCAUCACUUUCCACAUCCUUGCAAGGCUGUGGAAGUUGUUCAAUUGCAGAAUCAGCACGAUGUGUUAUGCAGGCUGAAUGGAAUUGGGAUUCAAGAUCCCUGAUCACUUCUGCCAUGCUUGUGGGCCUCCUAUCUACAUAGACGGGAAAACCUGGAGUUUCUUCAUCACCAUCUUGAUCAUCAAUUGCCAUAAUCUUGUGCCUAGGCUUAACAUGACCUGUAGUUAGAGCUUUUGGCGCAUCUAAAUUUCCACUGCCGCAGCCUUCUUCUGGGCAUUCCAUUUCAUCAUUAUCGUCAUUGUUGUCAUAAUCUUCUUCUACAACUGUGGCUCCCAUGGAGGAAUUUAUUCCAAAAUUUGUUCUUUCUUCUGCUAAAUAUCUCUUCCCAGUAAACUUAUCCGGUUCAGUUUCAUCCUCUUCCAAGUCAGGUAUUUCCUCUUCUCCUCUUGCCUCAUUAUUUAUAGCUACUUGGUCAAGGUUACUUCUAGUGGGGUAGCCAUGGUAGUCCAGUGAUGAAAAUGGGUUCCAGUAGAAAUCCCAUUGGGAAGCUUGAGGUGAUAGGGAAGGAAGAUUGGGUCUGUUAUUGGGAGAAUGAUAAGGAAAGAAUGAAGAAUUCAUGGCAAGAAAACCAUCAAUACCAAACCUGUUUAUUGGAGAAUAUGCUUCCACUUGAACUAUCUCAGGAGAUUGAAUCCUUUCCUGAACUGAAAUUACUGGGUUGCCACUUGCCCUUAGGUAGUUCACCUUCAUUGCCACUGAACUGGGUACAAACCCUACAGUCAUGUUGGGCAUGAAGGUUUUCUUGAAUGAAUCUAAGAACUCAUGAGGUUCAUGAUCUUCUUCAAUGUAAUCACGAAGAGCAGCUGAAACUUUUUGCAGAGAGUGGGUGUAGGCUAUGUGUCCAGAAGCAAAGCGAGUUCUUUGCUCUACAGCUUGUUUAAUGAAUUCCUUUCUUUGUUUGCAAAGCUGAACUGCUUCUUCAUCAUCUAGCCUUGAUUGAGAACAUCCCA